AUUGAACGCUGGCGGCAGGCUUAACACAUGCAAGUCGAGCGGAGUGAUGGUGCUUGCACUAUCACUUAGCGGCGGACGGGUGAGUAAUGCUUAGGAAUCUGCCUACUAGUGGGGGACAACAUCUCGAAAGGGAUGCUAAUACCGGAUACGUCCUACGGGAUAAAGCAGUGGAUCACUUGUGACCGUGCUCUAAUAGAGGAGCCUAAGUCGGAUUAGCUAGUUGGUGGGGUAAAGGCCUACCAAGGCGACGACCUGUAGCGGGUCUGAGAGGAUGAUCCGCCACACUGGGACUGAGACACGGCCCAGACUCCUACGGGAGGCAGCAGUGGGGAAUAUUGGACAAUGGGGGGAACCCUGAUCCAGCCAUGCCGCGUGUGUGAAGAAGGCCUUAUGGUUGUAAAGCACUUUAAGCGAGGAGGAGGCUCUUUUGGUUAAUACCCAAGAUGAGUGGACGUUACUCGCAGAAUAAGCACCGGCUAACUCUGUGCCAGCCGCCGCCGUAA
rnacentral:rRNA from 1 species